rnacentral:lncRNA from 1 species
GCUGGGAGAGUACGUCGGGCAGGAAGGGAAGCCGCAGAAGCUGCGGGUGUCCUGUGAGGCGCCGGGUGACGGCGACCCUUUCCAGGGCCUGUUGUCUGGCGUGGCCCAGAUGAAGGACAUGGUGAUGAUGAAGAUGAUGCAGAAGAUGAAAAUAACAUUGAUAACAGAACUAACUUCGAUGGACCAUCUGCAAAACGGCCAAAAACACCGUCUUAACAAUAGCCUUCAUGACAUUUAAAAGAUGGCUGUUGUAUCCUUAUUGUCACACUAGGACAUUUAAGGAAGACUUAUGCUCUAAUUUGGAAAAAGCAUUUGUGUUGUUCUCCUGGGACAAUUUUGUCAAAGAGAAAACUGGUUUUUCUGUUUCUAGCAAAGAUAGUAAAGGCUUAGAAAUAAAA